rnacentral:lncRNA from 1 species
UGCACUGCACCUUGAUAUUAAUCCAAAGGCAAAUUAAAUAGGCGUCAUGGUCCCUCAACUUUACCUUAAUGGUCAAGUUCGUCCCCCAACUAUUAAAUCGACCAAUCUAGUCCUUCACCUUUCAUUUUAGGUCAAUCUCAUCCUUGUGCUGAUGUGGAGCUCCAUGCCAGUACGAGACUAAUACAAAAGUCAUUUUUACCCUUGCUUCCUUCCUUCUUCCCC